rnacentral:antisense_RNA from 1 species
CCUAGGUUGUCAGAUUCUUCAUCAAUCUCAGAAAAGAUAAUAAAAAAGAAGACAUCAAGUUCAUGUUUGGGUAUAGGGAGAGCAAGUAACUUUCAGGGAAAAAAAAAAUUAUACCAGUACAUCAGGGCAGGGCUCAAGACCUUACAGUGGAAGAGUUAUGCUCUCCAUAAACAAUAUGACCUCCCAGGAGAGAAGAAAGAAUAGCGAUGAGGACUGAAGACAUCAAUUCUUCAAAUAGAUACUUCAUGUCUGUAGAACGCAGGUCUCCUAUUUCCUAGUUUGUGUUUCUUCCAAUAAACUCCUUGAAAGCUCA